rnacentral:rRNA from 1 species
CAGUAGCCGCGGUAUACAGAGGGUGCGAGCGUUAAUCGGAUUUACUGGGCGUAAAGCGUGCGUAGGCGGCUUCUUAAGUCGGAUGUGAAAUCCCUGAGCUUAACUUAGGAAUUGCAUUCGAUACUGGGAAGCUAGAGUAUGGGAGAGGAUGGUAGAAUUCCAGGUGUAGCGGUGAAAUGCGUAGAGAUCUGGAGGAAUACCGAUGGCGAAGGCAGCCAUCUGGCCUAAUACUGACGCUGAGGUACGAAAGCAUGGGGAGCAAACAGGAUUAGAUACCCCAGUAGUCCCUGUCUCUUAUACA